rnacentral:rRNA from 1 species
GAUGAACGCUGGCGGCGUGCCUAAUACAUGCAAGUCGAGCGAACGGACGAGAAGCUUGCUUUUCUGAUGUUAGCGGCGGACGGGUGAGUAACACGUGGAUAACCUACCUAUCAGACUGGGAUAACUUCGGGAAACCGGCGCUAAUACCGGAUAAUAUUUUGCACCGCAUGGUUCAAAAGUGAAAGACGGUCUUGCUGUCACUUAUAGCUGGAUCCGCGCUGCAUUAGCUAGUUGGUAAGGUAACGGCUUACCAAGGCAACGAUGCAUAGCCGACCUGAGAGGGUGAUCGGCCACACUGGAACGGAGACACGGUCCAGACGCCUACGGGAGGCAGCAGUAGGGAAUCUUCCGCAAUGGGCGAAAGCCUGACGGAGCAACGCCGCGUGAGUGAUGAAGGUCUUCGGAGCGUAAAACUCUGUUAUUAGGGAAGAACAGAUGUGUAAGUAACUGUGCACAUCUUGACGGUACCUAAUCAGAAAGCCACGGCUAACUACGUG